UGGACAUGAGUGUUAUGAGAGGCGC
rnacentral:piRNA from 1 species